CGUGGGCACACGACCCGAGCAGUCACACAGGACCCUGUGAUCAGAAUGGCCUCACUUGGGUUUAAUACUCUGCUGUCUUCAUCUUAAAAUUCUUAAUAAUUUAAUGUUUGAGCCCGUGCUUUGUAAGUGAAGUCUGAUGGAACAACGGAGCAUGCGCGUGAGUAGAGGAGAUACAGACGAUACGUGUGUCUGAGUUUUUUGUGGCUCCAUUAGCAUAUGGUGUUGAUGAUGCCCCCUGAGCACAGAAUUCUGGUGAGCCCACAAUGCAUGGGAGUUCAGCGAGAUUCAAUGCCAGUACAAGAUGGAGUCUCGCUCUGUCGCCCAGGCUGGAAUGCAGUGGUGUGAUCUCGGCUCACUGCAACCUCCGCCUUCCGGGUACAAGUGAUUCUCCUGCCUCAGCCUCCCAAGUAGCUGGAAUUACAGGUCCACUUUUGGAAACUCCCAUCAUGCCUCCUGCCUAUGGAUCAUCUCUUUGGCUGAGAACCGAGCUAACUCACUCAAGAUCCCAAUUAGUGACUCCUCAUGAGAUGGAAGUAAUUCUCCGGCAUCGUCCUCAUUUGAUUUCAGAAAAUCCAGCAGUUCUGGACUUCACAGUUGCACCACACGGUAUUGGGCUGUGGUCUGCUUCCUGGCAACCAAAGGGCAGGACAUAGGUAGCUGAUAAGGAAGGAGUGAAGGAUGUCUGCGUGGGGGCAAAUUUCAUGCAAAAUUCAUUACUGAAUAUUUCUGUAAUAUGACAAUUUCUGCUUUCCUAGCCAACCAUACAACUGCAGAGAUCCACAGAGCUACCGUUUGAGGAAUAAGGAACCCUGUACAUAGCCAGGGGCAUUCUAAAAUCCCCAAACUUGAAUCCUACUUCCGACUUUGCUAGGACACCGCAGGAAUUACCAUCAAAGAAGGAAAAAGAUGCACAGAAGUUUCCCAUUCGACAGCUACGAUUCUACAACCCCAUAGUCUUUCUAAACCACAGGCUGCAUUUUCCAUUUUGUUUUGCUGUGUUUUCCUU
rnacentral:lncRNA from 1 species